rnacentral:rRNA from 1 species
UACAGAUGUGGGCAAGCGUUGUUCGGAAUUACUGGGCGUAAAGGGCGCGUAGGCGGUUCGUUAAGUCCUGUGUGAAAUCCCCCGGCUCAACUGGGGAACUGCACAGGAAACUAGCGGGCUUGAGUUCGGGAGAGGGAAGCGGAAUUCCGGGUGUAGCGGUGAAAUGCGUAGAUAUCCGGAGGAACACCGGUGGCGAAGGCGGCUCCUGGACCGACACUGACGCUGAGGCGCGAAAGCUAGGGGAGCAAACGGG